UCCAUCUUGCCCGUGAUUUCCUGAAUUAAUUAUUUUCAAAAUCAGUUUGUAAUCCAUCUGUUUAUGUGCACAAUAUACUUUUAUUUUUACUUUCCUUACUUAUGAUUAUUUUGUACUAUCAAUCUUGCAAACACCUUCCUUAUUUGAUACAAUUUGUACUAUUUGAGUUGUGACUCCCUAAUUGAAGGGAAUCUGAGGUUUAAAUUGAUUAUAAUAGGUACACCUUCUAGAAUUAUAAUAAGUCUAUAUGUAUUACCUUAUUUUCCACUUAUUUGAGAUUAUAAGUACCCUACCCUCGCUUUAACACACAGAACAACAAGACGAAACGAAAAAUCUUCAUUGUUUUGACUCUCUUA
rnacentral:lncRNA from 1 species